UAUAUAUAUAAAAAAAAAAAUACGCCCGAAUGGUAACGCAUGGAAUGAAGGAACAGGACCUCGGUCCCGAUUAUCCUUAUUUUUUUCAAAUCGGUUUUACGGAACCUGAGGUAAUGAUUAACGGGAACUGACGGGGGCAUUCGUACUAUUCGGCUAGAGGUGAAAUUCUUGGAACCGAAUAUGACGAACAAGAGCGAAAGCAUUUGCCAAGGAUGUUUUCAUUAAUCAAGAACGAAAGUUAGAUGAUCGAAGGCGAUCAGAUACCGCCCUAGUUCUAACCGUAAACUAUGCUAACUAGCGAUCCGUCGGAGUCAUAACCACGACUCGGCGGGAAGCCCUCCGGGAAACCCAAGUUUUUGAGUUCCGGGGGGAGUAUGGUUGCAAAGCUGAAACUUAAAGGAAUUGACGGAAGGGCACCACCAGGAGUGGAGCCUGCGGCUUAAUUUGACUCAACACGGGAAACCUCACCAGGCCCAGACACCGGAAGGAUUGACAGAUUAAGAGCUCUUUCUCGAUUCKGUGGGUGGUGGUGCAUGGCCGUUCUUAGUUGGUGGAGUGAUUUGUCUGGUUGAUUCCGAUAACGAACGAGAUUCUAUCCUACUAAUUAGUCGUUGGAUAAUCUCCUUCGKCGGGUUGAACGGUAACCGAAAGAUCUUCUUGUUUUGGUGGUGUUGYUGUUGUUGUUNNNNNNNNNNNNNNNNNNNNNNNNNNNNNNNNNNNNNNNNNNNNNCUCUCUCUCUCUCUCACGAGAGAUGAUGGGAUAGAGGGUUUGGGGAGAGCUGUCUUACAUUAUUAUYAUCAUCAUCAUCAUCUUCGUCAUAAUCAUCAUUACUCGGUCCUAGGCCCAAUUCCCGGCGUUUGGAGCGUCCUUCGAAACACUUCUUAGAGGAAUCGACGGUAUUCCCAGCCGUAAGAGAGAGAGCGAUAACAGGUCUGUGAUGCCCUUAGAUGUUSUGGGCCGCACGCGCGCUACAAUGGAGAGAUCAAUGCGCUUUCCCCCCCUCCGAGAGGAGCGGGUAACCAUAUGAAACCUCUUCCCGUUUGGGAUUGGGGCUUGCGAGUGUUUCCCAUGAACGAGGAAUUCCUAGUAAGCGUGAGUCAUUAGCUCGCGUUGAUUAAGUCCCUG
rnacentral:rRNA from 1 species